UGGGCAGCAGCUCAGCGGUAGAGCUCCCGCUUCGUACGCAGGAAGACCUAGGUUUGAUUCCCGGCUGCUUUC
rfam:Toxocara canis scaffold1548, whole genome shotgun sequence.